rnacentral:lncRNA from 10 species
GUGUGUGCUGCGCGCACCUGAGGCCGACCUGUGAUUCACCGCGGGAGGGAUGGCAGUGACAACGCUCCGGGGAAGUCCACAGUGACUCCUCCGCCAGGACGCCGCUGGUUGUAUAGGAAAAGCACGCGGACGGGAAGCCACACUCACCGAAAACCUCAGUAAACUAAAUUUAUGAGUUUACAUCUGUUCCAUCAAUGACCACGGUGCACACCUGUUUGGCUUCAUGGCCGGCAACUACAGAUCUAGGUAUCCAAGAUCAAGAGGGACAAUUACAUAUUAUAAGCCGCACAGAGAAGAGUAAUCAAGGUGGACAUGAACUUGUGCUAUAUAAGUUAUGGGUUGAAGAACUCUGUGGAAAGUAGAGAAGAAAAAAUUUAGGGAACAAGCAGUAGUUGAAUACAGCUAUGUGAAACUAUGAGAACUAUGUGAAAGAGUGUUUGGAUCCAAAGAUGAAAGAGCUGACACAAGAGUGGAUUUUCUGAGAGCUGUUUGAGCAGAGAAAACUUGAAGGAGAUACACUUUACUGGGGAGUGAAGUUCUUUCAGCUUUAUUGUGGAGUGAAGCCUGCUGCACAUAAUGGAGAACACUGGCCCAGUCACUCAAAUCACAAAGGCUAUUUCGUAUGUGCUUCAAAGAUAUAAGACAGGGGUUUUGAUCAAAGCCACAGACCUGCAUUCCUGCUGUGCCUCCAUUCCUGAAUACCACAGACUCUGCCCAGUUUGCUUGAAUGAAUUCUGAGCUGCCACAUGCCUCAGUGAGACAGUGAAAACUUCAACUCAUCAAUGACUGGGUCAAACCACUCUGAAGACAAGCAGCUCUCCCACGUGCUCAACACUAGGACUAUUUCUGAAGCCUUGAUGAGAAUAACUGACUUCCUGAAGGGAAAGUAAGGAGCCUAAACCUGAUUAUGAGCAAGGAGGUAUAAGGAGGGGCAGGUGCGGUUUGAAAAAUGCUUCUGUGAAUCCUAGAGAAGAGGCAGGAUCCAAGGCCAUUUAACAACGUGAAGGUCCUAGAAACUUACCUUUGGAAGCCCCAUCUGACAUACUACCAAACAAAUUAAAACACACCAACAUCCCACAUUACCUUUUUUUCCUCUAAAAUAUAAGUAUUUUAUAUUUUCACUUCAAAUCUCAGUAAUCCUCACACACACUGGGGAAUUCUCAUGAAGUACAAAGAUCUAAAAUAGAAAUUAUUUUCAAAUACGUUUUUGUGAGCAUUAAAUUUAACAAUUAAUGAAGUUGGUAUAUUAUGUUUACAAAUAUGUCUUAUUUCCCUGAAUAAAGCUGUAAGCCACAAUCUGAUUCUAGAAACGUUAAAAUGUGAACCAUGUAUGUGUUCCUGGGUAAAUUAUGGUAUAAAUUUUGAUUCUACAGUUUUCCUGUU